GGGACGGGGCCCGGUGCGUCACGGAGGGAACACCCCAAAUCAGGGGGAAGUGCAAACAUCGGCGGGAUUGGACGCAGAAUUAAUUAAAGUGUCGUGGCAAGGAGGUGCCUCACAGCCCAGAGAACCUCAGGAGGGUAUAAAAGGUUCCUCAGCCUCGUCCUCCACAACUGCUCGCCUUCGCUUCCAGAAACUUCUCGCUGCUGCUGGAAAGGCUCUGCCAGAAAUCCAGGAUGUGCUCCCGCGGCUCCUGCCACGACUACGAGUCCUCCUGCCAUGGAUCCCGCUCCUCCUGCCACGAAUCCCGCUCCUCCUGCCACGACUCGGGGUCCUCGUGCCACUACACCAUCCAGAGGCAGCCUGUGCAGAAGUUCAGCUACGUGACGCCCUGCUGCGCCCCCGUGCAGAGUUAUUGCCCCCCAGUGCAGCGUUACUGCCCCCCAGUGCAGCGUUACUGCCCCCCAGUGCAGCGUUACUGCCCCCCAGUCUGCCCCCAGGUCACCAAGAACAUCUGCAAGCUGCCAAUGUACCCCAAAUACUGAGGGCAGGACGCGGCACCGGCACCGGAUCGAAGCCUCUGGAUGGUCCCAGUUCUCGCUUUGUCACUUCUCUGCAAGCAAAGCCUUCUGAAACCAGAGGUGAUGCAGUUUUAGGAUGAAAUCUCUGGUUUUAAGGAGCUCUGAGCUGUUUUAUCUUUCCUCUGCCAGCGCUAGGAGUGGUGCCCUUCUUGCUCUGCUGCUUCAUUCUCCAGCAAGAAAAUAAAAAUGGUGUUUCAAGCUGACCUAAAAGUCCU
rnacentral:lncRNA from 12 species